GAUGAACGCUAGCUACAGGCUUAACACAUGCAAGUCGAGGGGCAGCAUGGUCUUAGCUUGCUAAGGCCGAUGGCGACCGGCGCACGGGUGAGUAACACGUAUCCAACCUGCCGUCUACUCUUGGACAGCCUUCUGAAAGGAAGAUUAAUACAAGAUGGCAUCAUGAGUCCGCAUGUUCACAUGAUUAAAGGUAUUCCGGUAGACGAUGGGGAUGCGUUCCAUUAGAUAGUAGGCGGGGUAACGGCCCACCUAGUCUUCGAUGGAUAGGGGUUCUGAGAGGAAGGUCCCCCACAUUGGAACUGAGACACGGUCCAAACUCCUACGGGAGGCAGCAGUGAGGAAUAUUGGUCAAUGGGCGAGAGCCUGAACCAGCCAAGUAGCGUGAAGGAUGACUGCCCUAUGGGUUGUAAACUUCUUUUAUAAAGGAAUAAAGUCGGGUAUGGAUACCCGUUUGCAUGUACUUUAUGAAUAAGGAUCGGCUAACUCCGUGCCAGCAGCCGCGGUAAUACGGAGGAUCCGAGCGUUAUCCGGAUUUAUUGGGUUUAAAGGGAGCGUAGAUGGAUGUUUAAGUCAGUUGUGAAAGUUUGCGGCUCAACCGUAAAAUUGCAGUUGAUACUGGAUAUCUUGAGUGCAGUUGAGGCAGGCGGAAUUCGUGGUGUAGCGGUGAAAUGCUUAGAUAUCACGAAGAACUCCGAUUGCGAAGGCAGCCUGCUAAGCUGCAACUGACAUUGAGGCUCGAAAGUGUGGGUAUCAAACAGGAUUAGAUACCCUGGUAGUCCACACGGUAAACGAUGAAUACUCGCUGUUUGCGAUAUACUGCAAGCGGCCAAGCGAAAGCGUUAAGUAUUCCACCUGGGGAGUACGCCGGCGACGGCGAAACUCAAAGGAAUUGACGGGGGCCCGCACAAGCGGAGGAACAUGUGGUUUAAUUCGAUGAUACGCGAGGAACCUUACCCGGGCUUAAAUUGCAGAUGAAUUACGGUGAAAGCCGUAAGCCGCAAGGCAUCUGUGAAGGUGCUGCAUGGUUGUCGUCAGCUCGUGCCGUGAGGUGUCGGCUUAAGUGCCAUAACGAGCGCAACCCUUGUUGUCAGUUACUAACAGGUUCCGCUGAGGACUCUGACAAGACUGCCAUCGUAAGAUGUGAGGAAGGUGGGGAUGACGUCAAAUCAGCACGGCCCUUACGUCCGGGGCUACACACGUGUUACAAUGGGGGGUACAGAGGGCCGCUACCACGCGAGUGGAUGCCAAUCCCCAAAACCUCUCUCAGUUCGGACUGGAGUCUGCAACCCGACUCCACGAAGCUGGAUUCGCUAGUAAUCGCGCAUCAGCCACGGCGCGGUGAAUACGUUCCCGGGCCUUGUACACACCGCCCGUCAAGCCAUGGGAGCCGGGGGUACCUGAAGUGCGUAACCGCGAGGAGCGCCCUAGGGUAAAACUGGUGACUGGGGCUAAGUCGUAACAAGGUAGCCGUACCGGAAGG
rnacentral:rRNA from 1 species